rnacentral:rRNA from 1 species
CUACGGGAUGCUGCAGUGAGGAAUAUUGCACAAUGGGGGGAACCCUGAUGCAGCAACGCCGCGUGGAGGAUGACGCAUUUCGGUGUGUAAACUCCUUUUAUAUGUCAAGAAAAUGACGGUAGCAUAUGAAUAAGCACCGGCUAACUCCGUGCCAGCAGCCGCGGUAAUACGGAGGGUGCAAGCGUUACUCGGAAUCACUGGGAGUAAAGGACGCGUAGGCGGGUUGGAAAGUCAGGUGUGAAAUCCUACAGCUUAAUUGUAGAACUGCACUUGAAACUUCUAAUCUAGAGUAUGGGAGGGGGAGGUGGAAUUAGUGGUGUAGGGGUAAAAUCCGUAGAUAUCACUAGGAAUACCUAAAGCGAAGGCGAUCUCCUGGAACAUUACUGACGCUAAGGCGUGAAAGCGUGGGGAGCAAACAGGAUUAGAUACCCCCGUAGUC